UGAAGUCUUUCAAAACAUGGCUGCUACGGAGGAUACACUUCAACUUUCUUGGAGGAGUUGGUUAGAGAUAUCACUGGGUUAGAGGUCUCUCGCUUUCAGCGGCACUGAAUUGUAGUCGCUCAAUGCCAAAAUGGAUUUGAUAUCUGUCGCUCUCUGUCAAUGGCAGUGAAUGGUUGAGCUUGCUUGUAAAAAGAAACAAAAAACGCUUUUGCUUGGUGCGUUUAUUUUGCUUCCAUUUGGAGAACGCCCAAUAGAGGAGGAGCGCGCAGUCUCGAAACAGAUUCAAGCCCAGCACUGCUUCUUUUCCGGAAUUUGCAUUACAUUCCUAUUUGUUCUUUCUAACGGACCAGGAAUAAAGUUUGCGGCGUCGCCUUCCAGCACGGACCUGCUGGCUCAGCUGAGGACAGGAUGCAGGCGUGCGCACCUUCGUGGGAUGCCUUGGCAGGGAGAGUGCAGGACCCACUGAGUGCAAGGAACCCGUGCCAGUACCAGACAUGCAGUGGUGCUGGUUGGCCGACCUUAUCUUCCGGGCAGGACAUCAGAUGCUACCAAAAUGUUCCAUGUGAACCCUGGAACAACAUCACAUCUGGUCCUCAAGGGAGAAACUAUCAGUUUGCCUCCUAUGGAGUUUGUCAUUACAUGAUAGAGCAAAAUUCAUCAACGUGUAGCACAGGAGUCACCUCCUGUGACCAGAGCGAUAUGGUGGCUUACCAGAACCCAUCCCCUCCUUCGUGGCACCCAUUAGAAGCAGUCUGCGGCAAUAGUGUUGUAACUGAACACUACGUGCACAGUAGUGGAUUCUACCAGAAAUCGCUGCCGCCCUAUUCGCAGACCAGAAUCUGUACAAGUGGGCAGAGCUUUACCGUACCCAACACCAAUCAGACACUCCAGCACCAGCCAGCCACAGUUGGCCCAUUAGCAGAGUCUUUGCAGUCAUAUACCCGUAACUACUUAGAAACACCCAUGCAGGCUAUACAAUCUAUCAAGCAAAAAUUAUUGACACAGGCAAGGAUGAGAACAUGUCCAAAUGACAACAUUCAAAUGAGGAUGCGAGAAGAGGCUGUGCCAAUGAGCAAGCAAUCCAGAAGCUAUUCUUAUGUUUCAAAUCCUAAAACAAGAACAAUUCUAGAAGGAGUGCUGGCUGGUGGAACCUUGGUAUGUAAUGCUAGCCAAGGUAGGAAUUCAAAAGAGCCUGAGAUCCGGUUCGACAAGCAACAUGAGCAGCCGGCCAGCGGUAAACUCAAAUCUCUCCCAACACAAAAGUGGACUAGAGAGUCUUUAAAGUUACUCAUCAGGAGGCAGAUGAAGUCUCCUCCAUCUUUCCCCCAGUUUGAUUAUUCAUCAGUAAUGAACCUCUUCUGGGAAAAUCGCAAAUUGCUGGCGGAAAAUCUCAGGAAGGAAUUUUUCACAAACCUCAUGGUCGAUGCUCACGUGUUCUGUGAGAAGCACGUGACCACAGACACGGUGGUGCUGUUGGAAGCCAAGUGCGACUUAAACCUCAGCGGAGUUCAGGUUCUACGAGAUGGCGACUGCUAUUCCGAACCGCCGUACACGUCGGUCUGGAGGAAUGUCAACCAACAUCUCGACGACAUAGAUAAGGAAUUUGGCUUCGACAGGAACUUUCUGCAUCAGGUGCAACUUAUGGAACCGCUUACGCCAUCAGGUCCUGCGACUCCUCUGCCAGAAGCUAAGCCCGCCUCCUUGGAAGAACUCAGACGAGAACAGAAAGAAAGACAACAAGAACUUGAAGAGGCACAAAGUGAACCGAAGAUGGAAUCUGCUGCAUUUGUGUCCCACAGUGAAGAUCCAGAUGAUGUGUACUCAUUCAUCAUCCAGGUUCUGCCCCAAGAGGAGGCCAAAGCCAUCCAUGAACACAUACAUAAUGCAGAAGAAGCUACUGCCCUUCCAAGUAACAGUUCGCAAAAAAAACACAAUAAUGAUCUUGAAGACCAAGUGGUGGAAAUUGAGUGUGAGGAUCACGACUGCUCCCUCCCCUGCUUGAGUGAACGCAACCAAUCUCCUGAUGCCUCUUUUGUGACGGAACAGACGGACAAUCAAGAAAUGGGUAAUGUUGCCCCAGAAGACAACAAAGAGCUUGAAAAGACAACAGUAGAAGGUGACCAAGCGAUGCUAAAGAUCUCACGGCAAAAAGAUGACCGAGACACUGGAAAGGACACCCAACAAGAGGUGGCAACUGUCUCCCUACUAAAAGAUGCCCAAGAGUCUGGAAGUGUUAGCGGACAUGCUAAUGACAGAGUGAUGGAAAAGAUCUCCCGACAAAAACAUGUCAAAGAUGUGGAAAAUCUCUCCCAGCCGCUCGCAUUUUUACCAUCUAAAAAUUCUUGUCCAUCUGAAAUGUGGCCUUUGCAAGAUCGCCCUGUGAAAGUCCUCUCCAAGAAACAAUACCAAGGUGAGAGGCUACUCUGCCUCGCUGCCAAACGUUUGGCAACUUUAAAGAGAAAAGUCAAGAGAGCAAAGCAAUCCGGCAUUCACAUGCUCCACCGCAAGAGGCUGAAAACAAAACAUUUGGGGAUGGACUUUGGCAAAAAAAGCAAAGAAGCUCUCAGGGCCAGUCGCAAGCAGCCAGUGGAACUGGCGCUUUUUGGCUCUGCUAGACGAAAACACAGCCAAACUCCGAUUGAUUGUGUGCCAGAGGUUGUGAGUGUGAGUACUAAGAGGAGUUUGAGCAAACAGAAGAUCUACGACAAGUGGCGUCUACCCCCAACCAAGCUUGAUGGCCAAAGCAAAGACCAGUCUAUGAAGAAGUUCUCCAUGGACAUGCUCAAAAAAGAGCCACCAUUGCCUUCCCUUCUAUUCAGGAAGAACAACGGCAGAGUUUCAUUAAUCCUCAAAGAAAAAAGGUCCGAACUAGAUGUACCCCGAAGACAAGCUACUGAUGGAAUGCGGAAGACCACUGUUGACUAUUCUCAUGCCCACGAGGACACCGUGGAAGAAUUGGAUGACGUCGUUUUAUCAACGCUUAGAGCUGCAAACAUCAGUGACGAAAUGGUGAGGACCCUGUCACGUGAUGAUUUGCGGGAUCUUUUCCCAGGCCCAGAAAGCUUUUUUCGGAGGAAAGCAGUCUGGCAUGCUUUUCAUGGUGUUUUAGAAGAGUCUCACCAAGAAGGGGCAACAGGUGGUUCCACAUCAACAUCUCUUGAGACACACAUGCCAAAGACAUCCGCUACUGUGAAAACAGUAUGUCUUGAGCACUGUACUUCCAAGAAAGUUGCCAAGUUAAACUUCCCCGAGAACGUAAUACACACUGACCGUGAACUUGAGGAUGUCCGGAAAGAGUACUUCGAGUUAGCAAAGACAGGUCAACAGCAAAAAUGCCAACUGUCAAAAAAACAAAGAUGCCGUCUCCUCCGAAACACCAUGACAAACAUGAUUGCAAUUUUGAGGGCAACAGGAAAUAAAGAAUCCCCUGUAUAUCCAUCCAGACAAGAAAUUACAGCAGUGGCAAAGAGAAUUGUGCUCUACUACCCAAUGCUGGAGGAUAAAGGGGAGUCCAAAUGGGUCACUACGUUUCAACAACUUCGUCAAAGAUUGUAUAAUAUUAGAUCACCCUGGAAAGCCUUACAUUUGGAAAGUACUCCGAAGAGGCAGCUUCUACAACAAAGUGUCACGAACAAUGACCAGAACUUGAGUAGCUCAACAGCCACAUUGGAUUUUUCGUCACAAGGCAGUAAAACUCCAGACCCAAGGAGUGCUGAAAGUGCCAAAUGUGGUGCAGGGUUUCAUUGCUGCACCAGGGAGAGCCUUUUUGGGUUUCAAAGGUUCCCGUUCACCCCAAGAUUGGCCAAAACAAGUCAGACAACUGUGGGACCAUUGGACUUAUGAGGAACUAACAACCCUAAAAUGGAAAGUCCAGCUACAGAUCGCCCAGACACCAAGAGCUGGGCAACCAUGGCCAAACACUACAAGACUUUCCAGGCUUUGUAUAAAAAUAAAAAUCCAAACCAGGAGUCUGUGUCUCAACUCCUGGAUAUGGAUAGUGUUCGCGUGGAGGACAGACAUGUCAAAAUAACAGGCGCAUAUCCCUGUUUUAAAGAUAUUGAACAUUUAAGUCAUGGACUGCAUUAUUUAAAACGAAGUACAAUGUAGAAAAACAUUUUUUUUCCCCUCAGAUGUGAUGCAAUAAUGUUUGUAACUGUAUUUGUCAUAGGUAAUGGGGGAGCUCCAAUGCAUUUUGGACAAAGAUAAUGGCAACUUCGUGAUGACCGACAGGGUAGAUGGCAUGACUUCAGCCAGAAGGUGCAGAUUUUCGGGUUAUGGAAAAACGUGCGGAAACUUCCAAUGGGAAAGGACAAUGGAAAGAGAAGACCCAAAUACCUACUGGAGGACACGCACGCUGACAUGUCCAGUCCUCUUUGUUGGUGCAACCAACUGCCUCCUGGCUAGCCAUCAACACAUUCCCCAAGGAAAAGUUAAUUGAUGGUGCAUUAUACCUCAUGGCCUACUAUUAAACGCUCCAUCUAACAUACCCCUGGUUUGCGGCCACUGUGCUCUCAGUGAUCCAAACAGAGGUCCUCUUGGCCAGAAUACAUGAGCAGGAUCUCACAGCUUUGUACAAGAAAUGCCUAGCUAGCUGGAGGCUUUUCAUGAGCAUAAAUUAAGCCAGUUGCUAGAAUUGCUCCAUCUCCACCCUCCUGCUUUGGGUUGUUGCAUGUGAAUGUGCUGUUAUAAAAUCCCUCUGACUAUUAAUCAGUUUAAUAAAUGUUCAUUUAUUGAGACUUGAAUGUUUUUUGGGUUUUUUUGUCUGCGUAAAUGUUUUGUAUAUGACAUUCCUAAAAUUAUUGAAUCCUUAUCUUACUCCACUAGGUGAUGGUGUCUUAAAGUUACUUCAUGAAUAUCAGUUAAAAGCUUAAUUUUGAGAGUAAAAUGCUACAUUGCAGACUUAUUAUGAGUAAUCCUGCAAUACCAAAAAGUAGUAUUAACAGCUUGU